CAUCUCCAUGGCCCCCGGAGCUGCCCUUCCUGGCUGACCGGCUGGCCCAGGAGUGCCCGGGGAAAGGAAGCCGUCACUGUGCCCGCCACCGACCAGGCCCUGUCACCAACGCUAUCCUAGCUCAACUUCAUGGCCAUCCUGCAGAGUCCAGAUGGUCACUUUUUCAGAGAAGGAGACAGAAGCUCAGAGAAGGCCGCGGCGUGUCCCAGGUCACACAGCCUUUCCUGGGGCCUAAAACGCCACCACCUGCCCCUUCCUCUGCUGGUGGGAUCCUGGCCCAGGCGCCUUGGGGGCUGAAGUCCCAGACCUGCAGGCUGGUGUGAAGACGUCUGAGUGCUGGGAGCAGGGAGGAGUCUCCCUUCCGCGUUGUGAUCCCCGGCCGCAGAGCGCUGCAUUCCCGAAACCUUGUCCUAACAGGAGGUCCGGAGUCCAAGCCGGGGUGGGGAGACGCCUGGCGGGAGCCCGGAAGGGACUCUUUCUUCCUCCAGCAGGGUUUUCGGUUUCAGAACUGAACCUGUGGGGGGAGGGGGCUGGGGAGAAGCCCGGAGUAGUCCCCCCCGGGGGUUUCUGCAGGUGAGGUGCCUCUCUCCAUACCGAGGCCUGGGGAGAGUCUGCAGGGUCAGCUUCCCAGGCUCUUCCCAAAUGCGUCCUUGCCUCCCCCCUGCCCCCGAGGCCACGUGGCAGGAGGGGGGAGGGGGUGAUGUACUAGAGAGCCCUGCAUGUAGUGCACAAAGGGCUGGAGGAAGGAGGGAGGGAAGGGCCGGGUGCAAGGUUAUGUUUAAGCAAGCGCUGGACCUGAACCUGGCAGGAGUGAGACCCGUCUCUUCUUCAGCACCACCCCCAUCCCUGUGCAGCCCCAGGCCCCUCUGGUCAGUGACCCUCACUGUUCCUUGGUCUGAUGGCUCCUGGAAGGACAGGGACUGGGGACCAGGCUGGAGCUCAGCUGCGGUGUCCGCUCCGAUUGGGGUUCUCACUCACUCAGACCCAGGACAAGCGCCGUGAGGGGCUUCAGAGGAGAAGGUCCCCCUCUUCGCCCCGAUGUUCAGCAGACACUACGCUAGCGAGUGUUACACACACUCCAGGAUGCUGAGCCUAAGUCUCCGCACGUUGUUAUGGUAAAUAAAGUGUUUUCUGAUUC